rnacentral:rRNA from 1 species
CAGUAGCCGCGGGAAUACGGAGGGUGCAAGCGUUAAUCGGAAUUACUGGGCGUAAAGCGCACGCAGGCGGUCUGACAAGUCAGAUGUGAAAUCCCCGGGCUUAACCUGGGAACUGCAUUUGAAACUGUCAGGCUGGAGUCUUGUAGAGGGGGGUAGAAUUCCAGGUGUAGCGGUGAAAUGCGUAGAGAUCUGGAGGAAUACCGGUGGCGAAGGCGGCCCCCUGGACAAAGACUGACGCUCAGGUGCGAAAGCGUGGGGAGCAAACAGGAUUAGAUACCCGCGUAGUCCAUGUCUCUUAUAU